CCAGCAGCUGCGGUAAUUCCAGCUCCAAUAGCGUAUACUAAAGUUGCUGCAGUUAAAAAGCUCGUAGUCGAAUUGGAUCAUGGAGAGAUAACCGUACACUAAGGCUAUCUUGGCUGAAGUGUGCAGUCUUUCUAUGGUCAACCGAUCAUAAAGGGUCACGGGGAUCAUAUUCCCGUUUUUUUGACUCCUUUUUGAUUCAUUUUACUGUGAACAAAAUAGAGUGUUCAUGGCAGGCCAUUUCAACUAGGCUUAGAUACCAUAGCAUGGAAUAAUAGAAUAGGACUUCCGGUUCUGUUUUGUUGGUUUUUGGAGCCGAGGUAAUGAUUAACAGGGAUAGUUGGGGGCAUUCGUACUCCGUUGUCAGAGGUGAAAUUCUUGGAUUAACGGAAGACGAACAACUGCGAAAGCAUCUGCCAAGGAUGUUUUCAUUGAUCAAGAACGAAAGU
rnacentral:rRNA from 1 species